rnacentral:rRNA from 1 species
UACAGAGGUCUCAAGCGUUGUUCGGAUUCAUUGGGCGUAAAGGGUGCGUAGGCGGCGCGGUAAGUCGGGUGUGAAAUCUCGGAGCUUAACUCCGAAACUGCAUUCGAUACUGCCGUGCUUGAGGACUGGAGAGGAGACUGGAAUUUACGGUGUAGCGGUGAAAUGCGUAGAUAUCUGGAGGAACACCGGUGGCGAAGGCGGCAUCCUGGACCAACACUGACGCUGAUGAGCGAAAGCCAGGGGAGCAAACGGG